AAGUACACUGAGUGAGGGUUUUUGAAGGUAAAGGUGGGUGAAGGUUAUCUCCCCAGGUCAGGGUGAAGGUUAUCUCCCCAAGUGAGGGUGAAGGUUAUCUUCCCAGGUCAGGGUGAAGGUUAUCUCCCUAGGUCAGGGUGAAGGUUAUCUCCCCAGGUCAGGGUGAAGGUUAUCUCCCCAGGUCAGGGUGAAGGUUAUCUCCCUAGGUCAGGGUGAAGGUUAUCGCCCCAGGUCAGGGUGAACGUUAUCUUCCC